CAGAGAAAGACAAUGAAAUGGAGAGCAAAGCAGAAUGCUGAGGGAGCAUGAGAGUGCUGCGUCUCUAUAGCCUACACCUGGGACUUCUCUGGCCUGGAUCCAUUUCCAGUGACAGAUCUAGGCCACAUGUAGACUUGAAGUAACUCAAGUAUACAGAACCAUAAGAUUCUGAAGAGAACAAUCUCAACUCUUUCUACGCAUUUAAAAAUUGUAUGGCCAUGGUGCAAAAGAAGGAACGAGUUUCUGUAGCCCGGAGAAGUGUGAUUAUUAUUAGGAUGAAAAUCAUGGUUCCAUGUGCUUUCUUCACUCAACUAGUGUUUAUGAAGACUGUAUUAUAAUCCAAAUAGUAUGUUUAAUACUGAGAAAGAGAGGGAGAAAAGUGUGGCUUUGCCUCAAGGUGCCAACAAGGUGAUCUCAAAAUAGACUGAUAUUAGUAUUUUCAAUAUUUGGAUUAUACAAUCCAUGGUCAUGAAACUUUUUUCAGAGUUUGAGCUGGGGUGGAGGGGAGAAGCUAACAGUACACAAAUAUUGCAGAAGAAAAGAUUAUCAUAAGAAUUCCAAUAUGAUUGGAGGAGAGUACACGCAGCUAUGAAUAGUAGAAGAUGAGAAUCCAGACGCUGGUGGAUUUUACACCACACUAAAGAGUUUGACCUGUAUCCUACAAACAUCAGGGGUGUUUAAAUGAGGUGGAGAUAUGAAGCAGGGCAUUCUUUUUAUUAAUAAAAGAUAAAGGUCAGAAUGGACUGAAGGAAAUGACAACAGGAGAUGACUGGACAUACAGAUUGAGAAGUCAUCUGCACAUGGAAAUAUAGCUCAUAAUAUAAGAUAAAGCUAUUGAU